rnacentral:rRNA from 1 species
CACGUAGGGGGCGAGCGUUGUCCGGAAUCAUUGGGCGUAAAGAGCUCGUAGGCGGCUCGGUAAGUCGGGUGUGAAACCCCCAGGCUCAACCUGGGGACGCCACCCGAUACUGCUGUGGCUAGAGUCCAGUAGGGGAGUGUGGAAUUCCCGGUGUAGCGGUGAAAUGCGCAGAUAUCGGGAGGAACACCAGCGGCGAAGGCGGCACUCUGGGCUGGAACUGACGCUGAGGGGCGAAAGCGUGGGGAGCGAACAGG